GCACCUGGCAGCAGCCUGCUCUUCAAUAUUCUUCUCUGAAAUCACCUCAACCAAAUUCACAAGUUUACUAGAUCUGCAUGUUCUGUAUUCCAUAUUAUUGCAUUAAAGUAUUCAAGACGAAGGGAAAUAAAGAUUUAUUUUUAAAGAGACUGAAUUUACAACAUAUUGAUGCUUGCUAAAAGAAGUCCUUCUGCCUUCCACCAUGAGUGCUUCUCACCAGAUGCAGAUGCCCCAUCUUGAACUUUUACAGACAUCAGAAUCUGAGACAAAUAAACCCUUUUUCAUUAUAAAUUACCCAGACUCAGGUAUUCCUUUAGAGUAACACUAAAUGGACUAAGACAUUACUUAAUU
rnacentral:lncRNA from 1 species